rnacentral:rRNA from 1 species
UACGAAGGGGGCUAGCGUUGCUCGGAAUCACUGGGCGUAAAGCGCACGUAGGCGGAUUGCUAAGUCAGGGGUGAAAUCCUGGAGCUCAACUCCAGAACUGCCCUUGAUACUGGCGGUCUCGAGUCCGGGAGAGGUGAGUGGAACUGCGAGUGUAGAGGUGAAAUUCGUAGAUAUUCGCAAGAACACCAGUGGCGAAGGCGGCUCACUGGCCCGGUACUGACGCUGAGGCGCGAAGGCGUGGGGAGCGAACGGG